rnacentral:rRNA from 1 species
UGGGGAAUAUUGGACAAUGGGCGCAAGCCUGAUCCAGCCAUGCCGCGUGAGUGAUGAAGGCCCUAGGGUUGUAAAGCUCUUUCACCGGUGAAGAUAAUGACGGUAACCGGAGAAGAAGCCCCGGCUAACUUCGUGCCAGCAGCCGCGGUAAUACGAAGGGGGCUAGCGUUGUUCGGAUUUACUGGGCGUAAAGCGCACGUAGGCGGACUUUUAAGUCAGGGGUGAAAUCCCGGGGCUCAACCCCGGAACUGCCUUUGAUACUGGAAGUCUUGAGUAUGGUAGAGGUGAGUGGAAUUCCGAGUGUAGAGGUGAAAUUCGUAGAUAUUCGGAGGAACACCAGUGGCGAAGGCGGCUCACUGGACCAUUACUGACGCUGAGGUGCGAAAGCGUGGGGAUCAAACAGG